AGGAGGAGGCCGAGCUGUUGAGUCAACGCUGCAGAGCAGCCUGCGAGGGCAGAGAGAGGCACAGCUGCAAAGGACAGAUCUGCUGAGCCCCGGGGAAAUGGUUUGAGUAAUAAUCAACGCCUGCCGCUAUGUGGCCGGGAAGAUGAGGAGCCUGUGCAGCCGGGAGCCCCGGGAGCCACCGCCCUGCCCGGCCCAGGCAGCGCCCCAAAGGCAGCACCGGGAUGUAAAACCAGAGCUACCAGCACCCCCUGAAGCACCAGCCUCACUCCCCAGCAACACCAAACCCAUCCAGUGCAGGUCCUGACAAUAAAUCCCUCAUGGUCCUCCCAUGAAGGCCAUCAGA